rnacentral:rRNA from 1 species
AACGAACGCUGGCGGCAUGCCUAACACAUGCAAGUCGAACGAGACCUUCGGGUCUAGUGGCGCACGGGUGCGUAACGCGUGGGGACCUGCCCUUAGGUUCGGAAUAACUCCCCGAAAGGGGUGCUAAUACCGGAUAAGGUCUUCGGACCAAAGAUUUAUUGCCUUUGGAUGGGCGCGCGUUGGUUUAGCUAGUGGGUAGGGUAAAAGCAUAUCAAGGCGACGAUCCAUAGCUGGUCUGAGAGGAUGAUCAGCCACACUGGAGCUGAGACACGGCCCAGACUCCUACGGGAGGGAGCAGUGGGGAAUACAGGACGAGGGGCGAGAGCCUGAUCCAGCAGUGCCGCGUAAGUGAUGAAGGCCUUAGGGUUGUAAAGCUCUUUUACCCGAAGUGAUAAUGACGGUACCGGGAGAAUAAGCUCCGGCUAACUCCGUG